GGGAGAGAUGGCCGAGUGGUUGAUGGCUCUGGUCUUGAAAACCAGUAUAGUUCAAAAACUAUCGAGGGUUCGAAUCCCUCUCUCUCCUU
rnacentral:tRNA from 1 species